AACGAACGCUGGCGGCAUGCCUAACACAUGCAAGUCGAACGAGACCUUCGGGUCUAGUGGCGCACGGGUGCGUAACGCGUGGGAACCUGCCCUUAGGUUCGGAAUAACUCCCCGAAAGGGGUGCUAAUACCGGAUAAUGUCUUCGGACCAAAGAUUUAUCGCCUUUGGAUGGGCCCGCGUUGGAUUAGCUAGUUGGUAGGGUAAAAGCCUACCAAGGCGACGAUCCAUAGCUGGUCUGAGAGGAUGAUCAGCCACACUGGGACUGAGACACGGCCCAGACUCCUACGGGAAGCAGCAGUGGGGAAUAUUGGACAAUGGGCGAAAGCCUGAUCCAGCAAUGUCGCGUGAGUGAUGAAGGCCUUAGGGUUGUAAAGCUCUUUUACCCGGGAUGAUAAUGACAGUACCGGGAGAAUAAGCUCCGGCUAACUCCGUG
rnacentral:rRNA from 1 species